GCUGGACUUAUGCAAUAUGUGAGUUCAUGAAUUUUUCAUUAAUAUUGGAGUUCCAAAAAAAAGGGUUUCAUGGAAUUUUGACUUCUAAGCAGGCCACCAUGACAGAAGAAGACAACUGUUAAAGGUCAACAUUCUUGUCAGCAGGGCAAGUCCAUGACUCCUGCUUCCUUAAUUCUGUGUCCCCUCAAGGAACUCCAGAUGCAUCAGAGGCACGCAUUCGUAAGACAAGGAGGGAACAGACACGGAGAUGAACGUACGGACACACAGACGAGUGUAUGCUGGUGCUGUGUCUGCACAAAGGACUGAUGGUGUGACGGUUUGUGUAGACUCACCCCAGGGAGUGGCAGUGUUGGAAGGUGUGACCCUGUUGGAGUAGGUCCUAGCUGCCUGGAAGCCAGUGUUCUGCUAACAGCCUUCAGAUGAAGAUGUAGAGCUCUCAGCUCCUCCUGCACCACGCCUGCCUGGACGAUGCCACAUUCCUGCCUUGAUGAUAAUGGACUGAACCUCUGAACCUGUAAACCAGACCCAAUUAAAAGUUGUCCUUAUAAGAGUCGUCUUGGUCAUGGUGUCUGCCUAUAGCAGUAAAAUCCUAAGAGAGACGGUAUCUAAAAAGUACUCAGUUUAUUAACCAUUUCCCACCAGGUGCUUGGCAAGGUCCUCGGCUA
ensembl:lncRNA AABR07022098.1